rfam:Hyaloperonospora arabidopsidis Emoy2 Contig199.0, whole genome shotgun sequence.
AAAGCUUGAGUAGCGAUCGGGAUUAGAUACCCCGGUAGUCCAUGCCGUAAACGAUAAUUGCUAGUAUUUAGGAAUUUUUAGAUAUAACAGCUAACGCAUUAAGCACUC